CAUUACGUCAUUGGGACCUGUGCACUUGUCGCUCGCGGAGAAUUUGGGGGAUGCAGCUCUUCAUGAGGCGAAGAAUGCACUUGCAAGAAACACCGGGCACCUUUUCGACUUCGUAUGGUCUGGUUUGGUUUCGUGUCAGUAAAUAAAAGCGACAGAGAGGUGAAAACACACGGGGUUAAUAAACAGGCCGCGCUUCCUUCUGUUUAUCUCGGUGUGCAGCGCGAGGCGAGCCGGUGCAGGAUCAGAUAACGAGGUUGUGUCAUCACUCACUGCACUAUGCUGGGCUGCAUGCUGCGAGGAGGCUGCAGUCCUCUGGUCUGCUUGUGGGCCUUGCUGCUGCCUCUGGUCUCCCUCCAUCGCUUGAACCAGCCUGGGAGCAGGAGCCACAGUGUGAGGGACCGGCCCAAGCUGCUGCUCGUGUCUUUCGACGGCUUCCGCUGGGACUACGUUGACCGGGUCCCGACGCCUAACUUCCACAGCCUUAUGGACGAGGGGGUGACAGUGGAUCAGGUGGAGAACGCUUACAUCACCAAAACCUUCCCCAACCACUACAGCUUGGUGACGGGUCUGUACGCGGAGACGCACGGCAUUGUGGCCAAUGAGAUGUACGACCCCGCUCUGAACCGGUCCUUCUCCAUGGAGACGGACAGUAUUUAUGAUUCACGGUGGUGGGAGGAGGCAGUGCCUCUCUGGGUGACCAUCCAGAAAGCUGGAGGGCGGAGCGGGGCUGCAAUGUGGCCCGGGUCUGAUGUGAAGAUCCAUGGCAUGUUCCCCUCUCAGUUCCUCCAGUACAACGCCUCAGUCUCCUUUGAAACCAGAGUGGAGCGGAUUGUUGAGUGGUUCUCCGCACCUAAAGAGGAAUCGGUGGAUUUUGGAGUUCUGUACUGGGAGGAGCCCGAUGAGAGCGGGCACAACCUGGGACCUCAGAGUUCCCUCAUGGACGUAGUCAUUGCCGGGAUUGAUGAGAAGCUCGGCUUCCUCAUUAACGAGCUAAAGAAGGCCGGGCUGUAUGAGCAAGUGAACCUGAUAGUGACCAGUGACCAUGGGAUGACGCAGCUUUUCACUGAUAAUAUCAUAGAACUGGACGAGUACGUCAGCAGAGACCUGUACACCUGGGUGGAUAAGAGUCCAGUGGUGGGAAUACUGCCCAAAGAAGGGAAGCUUGACGAGGUGUAUAGUAAGCUGGUGGAUGCAAACCCAAACAUGGUGGUGUACAAGAAGGAAGAAAUUCCCAACCACUUCCAUUAUCAGCACAACGUCAGGAUCAUGCCCAUCAUCGUAGAGGCCAAGGAGGGCUGGACCGUCAUGCAGAACAGGACCGGGCCCUUCAUGUUGGGAAACCACGGCUACGACAACACCUUACGGAGCAUGCAGCCUGUGUUCGUGGCCCGUGGGCCAGCCUUUCGCCAGAAUUAUGUGAAAACCUCCAUGCGCUCUGUCGAUCUUUACCCUCUCAUGUGCCACAUCCUGUCCAUCCGCCCUCUGCCAAACAACGGCUCCCUCUUAAACGUUCAGGACCUGCUGUUCCCAGAGCUAGCUGCACCCACGCCCAGCGCCCCUCCCAGGGUCAAGGAGUACUCCUACACCCCCGUCGUGGGCUCUUUCAUCAGCGUGGUCAUGGUGCUCAGCUUUCUGGUGUUCUACGUCGGACAAGUGACGCUCAAACAGCUGCCCUCACUAAAACACAGAAGCAGGGAGAUGUCGCAGCCCUUACUGCAAGAGGACUUGCACCUGUAGGUAGGAAGAAACGGAAAGGAUGGCAGAUAUAAAAGAAGAGGAGGUAUUGCUCCCCAAGGUGGAGAUCAAGAGAAUCUAAUCUGACCUGGUCAUCAUGAGCAGGACAAGAUGCACCUCUACACAAGUGUGAGGGAAAUGUGUAUGGUUCACUUCUGGUGCAGGCUUAAUCAAGAUAAUAAUAGGGCGUUAUAGUGGCUUUGCUUUGAUUGUGAAUUUUACCUAAUAUCAUGUCAUCAUUUUCAUUGUCACUUACAGAGUAAAAAAAAUUCAAAGCUAAGUGUAGAAUUUUAACCUGUGAUCCUCGCAAGUAUGAACCUUUGGUGGCCAAAACUGUGACUUUGAUAAUAUUAAGGUGCCAGUAUACUUAAGAAGAAUGAAUUUGUCUGGAGGUUAAAGUGUUUGUAGCUGUGAGGAACAGCCACACCCAGAGGCAGGGUGAAGAACUCGCCAUCGUAGAAAAGGUUGGAAGCAAUAAUUUUUCUUUUUAAAAAUGGGGAUAAGUGCGCACACUUUUAGACAAUCUAUCCCUGAUGGCAUUCAUAGUGUUGCACUCAUUUGUGCGUAGGAAAAGUGUGUGACAAAAAAAAAAAGAAGAGAGAAGCUGAAAUCCUGCCUAUCUUUUGUGACCUGGCCAGUGGCUGCGGGAAGUGGGCGCGAUUAUGGGAUUGUUGGUUUUGGAGAGUUACAGGAAUUGUCAGACACGGCAGAACCCACUUCUUUUGAAGCAUACUGGCACCCUCACUUCAGGCAGUAGAUUUGGUUAUUUCCACAUUUUCAAAUCUAUGCAAAGCAGAUUUGUAUUUUGUGAGCUUAAGACGGAUCAAGGCCUUGUCGGAUUCUUUUUUGCCACCAACUGCUCUACUUGAGGUCUGAGCACUGAAUUAGAAGUUACUUUACGAUAUAAAAAUGCUGUGAUUAAGCUGAAGUAUUCAAAACUCAACUACUUUGAGGAGAUCGACUGAGCUCGGUGUUACUUUUUGAAUGUUACUUGGAAGCAAAUGUUCCACUAAAGACUCACUCAAUGUGCCAGGCUUCUGCUCAUGUGUGUAGGUCAUUCCAUGAGCCAAUCACAUCACGACCUUGCUCUUCAGUAGUCAGUUACCAUUUGCCUUUUAACUUAACAGAGAACAUCUCUCUAAGGUGUGCAAUUGUUAGUGUGUAAGUUGGUCUAUCUUUUUUUUUUUUUUUUUUUUUUUGUAGCAUUUGUGUUGGGAAGGCAUUUUUCUGUAUAGAUGGCUGUGAACUGCCCUCCUCUUCACAUGUUGACCCGUCAUAACCAUGGCCAUUUGUUGGUGAAAUGUGAAGUGCAAUUGCUAUUGGUCAGUAUUUCGUCGUAGGGAAUUUAAGGGUUUUGUUGUUGUGUGGUUGAGAAGACUAUUUCGGCAUGACUUGCAAGAACUGUUCCCCUGAUUUGCACUACAGGAUAGAAACGAAACAGAACGAAGGGGCAGUAGUUGGAUGCUUUUUUGGUCAUGUAUAAUUUGCACUUCCUGUUCGUAGUUGCUAUUUGAAAUGAUAAAAAAAAAAAAGUUAGGUGCCUCUUGCCAAAAAGCUUUUUGAUUAGCAUAAUUAUAGAAAGUCAAGUAGAAAUCCAAAUCUGCCAGUAAAUUAUUCUAAUAUUUUUUCAGCAUCUUUUAAGAAAGAAUUGGUUCAGUUUUCUUAGUAUGCUUUUAGAUGCAUUGACUUAUACCUGUGCCCAAAAAAUGACAGACAUCACUGUGAGUAUUUACUUUUUACAAAAUUUAAAUUCAUAAAUUGAAAGCAUUUAUAUGGAAAUUGUUAAUUUUCUGAAAAUUGUCUUGUUUUAUGAAAGAAAAGUGUUGUCUGAUAAUUUUUCCCCUGACUUGACAGAGAAAUUAAGAAAUAUCCAAACUAUAUUUAAAUAAUUCAUUUGAAAUUGUUAGAAAAAGAAUAAAUAUUAGAUCAGAUUUCUCUCAGUUGAUUAUUACCUUGGAUUUGAAAUAUGGAUAUUUAAUAUGAUUUACAGAUUAACUAUCUUUGCCAUGUUGAUGCAAUUAAAGAGUCUUCUGAAAAUAAAGGGACUUAUGUGAAACUGAA